rnacentral:rRNA from 1 species
CUAAGUGGGCUUGAUUGUGGGAAAAGCUCCACAGUUAAGCGCACUUGAGCCAGAGGCGUCCUGGGAUGGGUGACCACCUGGGAAGUCCUGGUUACCAGGU